AGCGAACGCUGGCGGCAGGCCUAACACAUGCAAGUCGAACGAACUCUUCGGAGUUAGUGGCGGACGGGUGAGUAACACGUGGGAACGUGCCUUUAGGUUCGGAAUAACUCAGGGAAACUUGUGCUAAUACCGAAUGUGCCCUUCGGGGGCAAGAUUUAUCGCCUUUAGAGCGGCCCGCGUCUGAUUAGCUUGUUGGUGGGGUAAUGGCCCACCAAGGCGACGAUCAGUAGCUGGUCUGAGAGGAUGACCAGCCACAUGGGGACUGAGACACGGCCCAAACUCCUACGGGAGGCAGCAGUGGGGAAUCUUGCGCAAUGGGCGAAAGCCUGACGCAGCCAUGCCGCGUGGAUGAUGAAGGUCUUAGGAUUGUAAAAUCCUUUCACCGGUGAAGAUAAUGACUGUAGCCGGAGAAGAAGCCCCGGCUAACUUCGUGCCAGCCGCCGCCGUAAAAC
rnacentral:rRNA from 1 species